AUUUCUAAAACAGUUUAAUUUAAGUAAAAAAAAAAAGAGUUAAAUGGAACAAUAAAAUAAUACACACAUUAAUGUAUUAUUUCCAGUCCUCUAUACAAUUGCCAUUUCAAUGUUCAUUUUAUAAUGUGUGUGUCUAUGGGGUCCCUUCACAGGUUCUCCAGUCAUGUCAAUAAAGGCUAUAAGCUUGACUGCUGUCUGUCUGAUAAAGACACACAUGUUCUGAGCUGUUCAGAAGAUGGCCAUGUUUAAUUCUGGGAUCUGGUGGAGGGCUCACUGACUUUAGAGCUGCCUGUUGGGGAAGCUGUCGUCCAAUCACUGUCCUUACACCCAACGGAGCCCCGCCUUUCAUCUGCUAUGGAGGGGUUUGUUCAGGUGUGGGGGUGGAGCCAGAGGAUCCAGCUGUGGAAGACAGCUGAGUAGUGCGUGUUGAACAUCAAACACAUGAGCAGGACUCAUUGAAGAUGAAGUGUGAAUAACUUUUGUAUGAGUUUGUUAUUCAUAAUUUGUAUUUAAUAAAAUAUAUUGUUUUUUUAA